rnacentral:rRNA from 1 species
CCUACGGGGGGCUGCAGUGGGGAAUAUUGGGCAAUGGACGCAAGUCUGACCCAGCAACGCCGCGUGAAGGAAGAAGGCUUUCGGGUUGUAAACUUCUUUUGUCAGGGAGCAAGGAGCGCCACGAGUGGUGCGGCGAGAGUACCUGAAGAAAAAGCAUCGGCUAACUCCGUGCCAGCAGCCGCGGUAAUACGGAGGAUGCGAGCGUUAUCCGGAUUUAUUGGGUUUAAAGGGUGCGCAGGCGGCGAGUUAAGUCAGCGGUAAAAUUUCGGGGCUCAACCCCGACAAGCCGUUGAAACUGGCUUGCUAGAGUGGGCGAGAAGUAUGCGGAAUGCGUGGUGUAGCGGUGAAAUGCAUAGAUAUCACGCAGAACUCCGAUUGCGAAGGCAGCAUACCGGCGCCCAACUGACGCUCAGGCACGAAAGCGUGGGUAUCGAACAGGAUUAGAUACCCCAGUAGUC